rnacentral:rRNA from 1 species
GACGAAGGAUGCAAGCGUUAUCCGGAUUCAUUGGGUUUAAAGGGAGCGUAGGUGGCCUUAUAAGUCAGCGGUGAAAUCUCUGGGCUUAACCCAGAAAUUGCCAUUGAUACUGUAGGGCUUGAGUACAGUUGCUGUGGGCGGAAUAUGACAUGUAGUGGUGAAAUACAUAGAGAUGUCAUAGAACACCGAUUGCGAAGGCAGCUCACAAAACUGUAACUGACACUGAGGCUCGAAAGUGCGGGGAUCAAACGG